rnacentral:ncRNA from 1 species
CAGCGGGGAAAGAAGACCCUGUUGAGCUUGACUCUAGUCUGGUACUGUAAGAAAACAUGAGAGGUGUAGCAUAAGUGGGAGGUAGUUUUUUUAAACUGCCGACAAUGAAAUACCACUACUUUCAUUGUUUCCUUACUUACUCGGUGAGGCGGAGGGCGUCCGUCGGGGUGAUACCACCUCGGCGUGACGGUAUUCUCGUGCCAAACGCCAAGGGUUGUCGACGUUCGAUCGUACGCCUUGUCGCGUUUAAGAUGUGGAUAUUCCUAAACGGAAUUGAUGCGUCUUAUUCGUUGUGCAAUGGCGGAUUCGGUCGUAUCGUUCGGCAACAUACUCCCUAGCGUGAUCCGAUUCGAGGACACUGCCAGGCGGGGAGUUUGACUGGGGCGGUACAUCUGUCAAAAAAUAACGCAGGUGUCCUAAGGUCAGCUCAGCGAGGACAGAAACCUCGUGUAGAGCAAAAGGGCAAAUGCUGGCUUGAUCCCGAUGCUCAGUGGGCAUAGGGACUGCGAAAGCACGGCCCAUCGAUCCUUUUGGCUUGAAGAGUUUUCAGCAAGAGGUGUCAGAAAAGUUACCACAGGGAUAACUGGCUUGUG